rnacentral:rRNA from 1 species
CCCUUAGAUGUUCUGGGCUGCACGCGCGCUACACUGAAGCGUUCAACGAGUAUUUCACCUUGCCCGGGAGGGUUGGGUAAUCUUUUUAAAACGCUUCGUGAUGGGGAUAGAUUAUUGCAAUUAUGGGUCUUCAACGAGGAAUUCCUAGUAAACGCAAGUCAUCAGCUUGCAUUGAUUACGUCCCUGCCCUUUGUACACACCGCCCGUCGCACCUACCGAUUGAAUGGUCCGGUGAAAUCUCGGGACGGCGGCUUGGUCGCUUGCGUCCGACUGCUGAAACUUGAUUAAACCAUAUCAUUUAGAGGAAGGUGAANUCGUANCA